rnacentral:tRNA from 1 species
GUUUAAAUAGCUUAAGUAAGUAAAGCUUUUCAUUGAAGAUGAAAAAAUGAUAGUUUAUAUCUUUAAACA